rnacentral:lncRNA from 1 species
GAAAAUAACUCCCUAACCUAUGACUAAACCAAAUGCCCCUCGUAUCUCUUCUUCUCUUUCAUUCAGCGCUAGUCAGCCCCUUUUUUCGACAUUGUUUCAGACAAACCAUGCACCACGAGCCACCACCCAAAUACAACCACAAGACCACCACCCGCCCCUGAGCCUUAAUCCAUCACCAUUUUUCUCCAAAGCCUGACCAAAUCGGACCUGUGGCAAGUCUAAAUCAUGGGAAGUAACACUUCAAGACUUCUAUGAGUGAUAUGGUUCGAAACGGAUAUUGAUCGUGUGUUUUCUUCGAAAAACAAAUGGUUAAUGUUUGUUUUGACUCAAAUCGAGGUCGUGGAGUUCAUCGAAACCUUGUCUGGGCCUUUGAAGGCUUUAGUCUCGUCUUUUCUUUGUUGUCUUCCUCGUCGCUUUAAUUAUUCGAAUUCUUGCCCCCUCUGUUUCCUCCCUUCUGGGUCAUUUUUUUCUUUGUCAUUUUUCUUGCUGUUUUUUUUUUCUGUUUUAGAUCGUUAUGUUCACAUGUUUAAGAUUGAAGUAUCUCAGUGCCAUUUUUGGUUUAAUCUAUUUUGUUUUUCUAGUCGUUAGUUAUGGCAUUUUUGUUUUAUUUUAUUUCUGGCUAUGCUUUGGGGUCUAAACCAUGAAAUGGAGUCACUUGUUGAUUGGGUCUUUAGAAAACUCAGCGGGUGUAAUUGAGCGAAAGGCUACCAAAGCCCAGAAGGCUGUUGAAGCCCGUCGUCGCAAAAGCCCAGGGCUUUUGGCUAGUUUGGUUUGUAGGUGGGGGUAAUUAACAAGGUUGUUCAAGGUCGUUUUGGUAGUUCGGGAAGGGGAUGUUUUCUGUUGUAUAGGAUAAGAUUGAAAUGGCAUAUGAAGGUGAGAGAAAAUAAGAUUUUUGGGGGAAGGUUAAGGGAGUGAAAUCAGUGGUAGAUUGGGUAAAGCACUUCGUGGAAUCUUGCAUUAACCACCUAUGAAGCUUCUUAGAAGCUGAUAAAAGGCCUGACUUGGCCAACAAGUCAAGAGUUCAGGGAUUGGGUAGCAAAAAAUAAGAAUUAGCUAGGGACUGAUUUGAAAACUGAACAUAUUUGGAGUUGCCCUAAAAGGUGCCUAUAAAAGGAUAGCUAAGAGAGUCUUAGAAGGAGGGGAGCAAAAAUCUGGAAGGAGAACAGAUCUCCAAUGGAAAAAUUCAAAUAACUCUCUCCCAAAUAUUUAUUUUUAAAUUUAAAAAAAAGAGAGAAAAAUCCAAAAAAAGGGCAUUCAAAUACUGUUUUAUUGAAAUUUUAAGUUCAGUUUCAAGUUGUGGUGUGGAUUUACAUUGUUUAGCUCCAAGUCUGAUUGCUGAAGUUUUCUAGUUGUUCUUGAGGUAGCUUUCGAGUGGUUUUGAUUGUAACAAGCUGAAUCUGGACCAUUUUCACUGGUGUUGUUCUGUUUCUAUCCAUUGUUUGUCAUAAUUGGUGCUGGUUAUGGUUUUGAAAUCUUCCUGGGUUGUUGAUUCUAUUUCUAGAGCAUUUCGAGUCCACUAAAGUGCAUUCGAGUGAUUUGUAGUUGAUUGCUUGGGUCUGCCUGGUUUCAAACUUUUCUGGGCUGUGGAACUAACUUUCUGGGCUGUCGUUUGAGUUCUGCUUGUUAAUGUUGUUGAUUUCAUCUUCCCUUUCUUAUUUGCGAUUUCCAGGUACCCUACUGAGCUCCAAUUGAAGCUUCACCUGUGGAAGUCAUGAAAUAAAAUUGUUGCAAAGUUUCCUGCUGAUCAUCUGCACCUUAGUUAAUUUUAGUCAUGUUUCGAAUGAGUGGUUCAUUGUAUUCAAAUUGGCAUUGUUGUUGAAUUGUUUAGAUUGUUUUGAUUCAAGGAUUGUUUGGGUUUGGACUGUGCUUAUUUAUUAGUCAUAAUAAUUUGUAUAGUACACUAUUAAAUCAAAAGUAGCUGGAAGUUGAACAGGAGAAUGUUUUGGAACCCAUGGAUUUACUUGUUAGAAUAUGAAAAUUGAAUCAGUGUUGCUGUUGAAGAGCAACUAUAAUCGUUCUUAGUUAGUGACACUCAGAAGCUUAGCAAUCAUUAAUAUUGGGUUGAUUCAAUUAAGAUUUUGGCAAAGGUUGAAUCCUUGCAACUGGUUGGGUAGUUUUCAUAUCAGUUGAUAGUGGUUUCUUGUUUGAUUUGGCUCAUGCUAAUAUAGUAAUAAAGCAGGAACUUGAUUGAAUUGGC